UACGUAGGGGGCAAGCGUUGUCCGGAAUCACUGGGCGUAAAGCGCGCGCAGGCGGCUAUCUACGUCCGGGGUGAAAGCCCAGAGCUCAACUCUGGGAUUGCCUUGGAUACGGGAUGGCUUGAGGAUCGGAGAGGCAAGGGGAAUUCCACGUGUAGCGGUGAAAUGCGUAGAGAUGUGGAGGAACACCGGUGGCGAAGGCGGUUCUCUGGGAAUGACCUGGACGCUGGAGGAGCGAAAGUGUGGGGAGCGAACAGG
rnacentral:rRNA from 1 species